rnacentral:rRNA from 1 species
UACGAAGGGGGCUAGCGUUGCUCGGAAUCACUGGGCGUAAAGCGCACGUAGGCGGAUUGCUAAGUCAGGGGUGAAAUCCUGGAGCUCAACUCCAGAACUGCCUUUGAUACUGGCGAUCUUGAAUCCGGGAGAGGUGAGUGGAACUGCGAGUGUAGAGGUGAAAUUCGUAGAUAUUCGCAAGAACACCAGUGGCGAAGGCGGCUCACUGGCCCGGUACUGACGCUGAGGUGCGAAAGCGUGGGGAGCAAACAGG